GACGAACGCUGGCGGCGUGCUUAACACAUGCAAGUCGAACGGAGAGGCCCUGCUUUUGUGGGGUGCUCGAGUGGCGAACGGGUGAGUAACACGUGAGUAACCUGCCCUUGACUUUGGGAUAACUUCAGGAAACUGGGGCUAAUACCGGAUAGGAGCUCCUGCUGCAUGGUGGGGGUUGGAAAGUUUCGGCGGUUGGGGAUGGACUCGCGGCUUAUCAGCUUGUUGGUGGGGUAGUGGCUUACCAAGGCUUUGACGGGUAGCCGGCCUGAGAGGGUGACCGGCCACAUUGGGACUGAGAUACGGCCCAGACUCCGACGGGAGGCAGCAGUGGGGAAUAUUGCACAAUGGGCGGAAGCCUGAUGCAGCAACUCCGCGUGCGGGAUGACGGCCUUCGGGUUGUAAACCGCUUUCGCCUGUGACGAAGCGUGAGUGACGGUAAUGGGUAAAGAAGCACCGGCUAACUACGUG
rnacentral:rRNA from 1 species